AUUGAACGCUGGCGGCAGGCCUAACACAUGCAAGUCGAGCGGAUGAAGGGAGCUUGCUCCUGGAUUCAGCGGCGGACGGGUGAGUAAUGCCUAGGAAUCUGCCUGGUAGUGGGGGAUAACGUCCGGAAACGGGCGCUAAUACCGCAUACGUCCUGAGGGAGAAAGUGGGGGAUCUUCGGACCUCACGCUAUCAGAUGAGCCUAGGUCGGAUUAGCUAGUUGGUGGGGUAAAGGCCUACCAAGGCGACGAUCCGUAACUGGUCUGAGAGGAUGAUCAGUCACACUGGAACGGAGACACGGUCCAGACUCCUACGGGAGGCAGCAGUGGGGAAUAUUGGACAAUGGGCGAAAGCCUGAUCCAGCCAUGCCGCGUGUGUGAAGAAGGUCUUCGGAUUGUAAAGCACUUUAAGUUGGGAGGAAGGGCAGUAAGUUAAUACCUUGCUGUUUUGACGUUACCAACAGAAUAAGCACCGGCCAACUUCGUG
rnacentral:rRNA from 1 species